AUGAAUCCCAAAGGGUCACAGGUGGGAUGGGGGGACCAGCCGUCCUUCCAGUCUUCCUUGAGCCAAAAGACCUCAAUUUUUGCCGUUUCAGAUCUGGAUCGACCUUGCAUCCUUUCUCUGCUUUCCAAACAAAUCCGAAUGUUCGGACAUGAACUUGACAGUGUUCAUCUCACCGUUGCCCUGGAGACAAGUCAGGAGAUCAAUAAAACCAGCGUUGAGAGCGGAAGGAACCGAUCUUCAUGCUGGUAUCAAAUGCCACAUCUCUGCAGCACGUGGAGAAGGGCCAGCAAGCAGUGAGUGACCUGGUUAGACGUUCCAAAAACACCGAAUUGAUAUUAUUGGCCUCAUCAGCAUUGUCUCUCCUAGAGGUUGCUCCUCAUUAGCCCAAGAGAGGUUAAAGAAAAGAACUGUGACUGUUGCCUUCAAUGCAGAGGGAUUGGCCAAGAAAAAAGCAGAGACACGGAAUGAUGGAUGCCACCGAUCCGGUGCUCUGUUGGUGCCAGGCCCCGUGCUGAGUUCCUGGGGGGGCAGUGUCUCAUUUCAUCCUCGCAACAACACUUGGAAGACAAUCUGAUUAUUCCCAUUCUGUAGAUGGGGAUAACUGAGGCUUGACGUUAGGAAGCUUGUCCUCAUUUGCGCAGCUGGUCAUUCAUGCAGACGUCUGUCCAGCCCCUCCCCAGUCCCCCAGAUCCCGAAGUGAAGACUAACUCUGAGUCUCCAUCAUGUCAUGCUCCCGCUCUCCAGCAGCAGAAUGAAGGAGGAGGUGCAAAGAGGUCAUCUAAUCCAGCCCCUCCUUUCUCCAGUGAGGACACUGAUUUCAGAGAUGGAAAGUGACUUGCCCAAGGUCACACAGCAGAGCUAUGACUAGUGCACCAGAUUCUGGACUGUCAGCUCCAGGCUCUUUGCAAAGAUGAAAUCCACUUGUGUGCCUGCCUGCAUCACUCCCUUGACAUUAGCAGGAAAUAUCCAACUCCUCAAUGAUGUGGAACUAAAAGGGCCGGAAAGAUGGGAAGACAGAAUUUUUACAUAAUAUAAGUGAAGGCCAGAAAUUAUUUUUUCAACAAGCCAAGCUUUAGGAGCACCUAAUAAAUAUAAAGCACGGUUCA
rnacentral:lncRNA from 1 species